ACAUUGCCUGAGUACCAACCUCACAGAAUAUACACAUGUGGUGGCAGCAUACCGGCACACUUAUCAAGACUACCCCAUGCCCAGCUGAGGCCGCGAGGCCGUAAGUGCCGACACCAACUGUCAGGAGCCGGCUCAGAGACUCUCAGGGACGCUAACUACAUCUUAUUUACAACAGUAUUUAUGUCCCCCUUAUAAUGUUGUGGUCACUGAGAACUUGAAAUCCGAAAUUGCC